AUCGUAAAGCUCUGUUGUUAGGGAAGAACAAGUGCGAGAGUAACUGCUCGCACCUUGACGGUACCUAACCAGAAAGCCACGGCUAACUACGUGCCAGCAGCCGCGGUAAUACGUAGGUGGCAAGCGUUGUCCGGAAUUAUUGGGCGUAAAGGGCUCGCAGGCGGUUUCUUAAGUCUGAUGUGAAAGCCCCCGGCUCAACCGGGGAGGGUCAUUGGAAACUGGGAAACUUGAGUGCAGAAGAGGAGAGUGGAAUUCCACGUGUAGCGGUGAAAUGCGUAGAGAUGUGGAGGAACACCAGUGGCGAAGGCGACUCUCUGGUCUGUAACUGACGCUGAGGAGCGAAAGCGUGGGGAGCGAACAGGAUUAGAUACCCUGGUAGUCCACGCCGUAAACGAUGAGUGCUAAGUGUUAGGGGGUUUCCGCCCCUUAGUGCUGCAGCUAACGCAUUAAGCACUCCGCCUGGGGAGUACGGUCGCAAGACUGAAACUCAAAGGAAUUGACGGGGGCCCGCACAAGCGGUGGAGCAUGUGGUUUAAUUCGAAGCAACGCGAAGAACCUUACCAGGUCUUGACAUCCUCUGACAACCCUAGAGAUAGGGCUUUCCCUUCGGGGACAGAGUGACAGGUGGUGCAUGGUUGUCGUCAGCUCGUGUCGUGAGAUGUUGGGUUAAGUCCCGCAACGAGCGCAACCCUUGAUCUUAGUUGCCAGCAUUCAGUUGGGCACUCUAAGGUGACUGCCGGUGACAAACCGGAGGAAGGUGGGGAUGACGUCAAAUCAUCAUGCCCCUUAUGACCUGGGCUACACACGUGCUACAAUGGACAGAACAAAGGGCUGCAAGACCGCAAGGUUUAGCCAAUCCCAUAAAUCUGUUCUCAGUUCGGAUCGCAGUCUGCAACUCGACUGCGUGAAGCUGGAAUCGCUAGUAAUCGCGGAUCAGC
rnacentral:rRNA from 1 species